rnacentral:rRNA from 1 species
CAGCCGCCGCGGGAAUACGAAGGGUGCAAGCGUUACUCGGAAUUACUGGGCGUAAAGCGUGCGUAGGUGGUGGUUUAAGUCCGUUGUGAAAGCCCUGGGCUCAACCUGGGAAUUGCAGUGGAUACUGGGUCACUAGAGUGUGGUAGAGGAUUGUGGAAUUUCCGGUGUAGCAGUGAAAUGCGUAGAGAUCGGAAGGAACAUCUGUGGCGAAGGCGACUAUCUGGGCCAACACUGACACUGAGGCACGAAAGCGUGGGGAGCAAACAGGAUUAGAUACCCCGGUAGUCCCUGUCUCUUAUAC